rnacentral:rRNA from 1 species
UACGUAGGAGGCAAGCGUUGUCCGGAAUCAUUGGGCGUAAAGAGCGUGUAGGCGGCCCGAUAAGUCCGCUGUGAAAGUCCAGGGCUCAACCCUGGAAUGCCGGUGGAUACUGUCGGGCUCGAAUCCGGAAGAGGUGAGUGGAAUUCCUGGUGUAGCGGUGAAAUGCGCAGAUAUCAGGAGGAACACCAAUGGCGAAGGCAGCUCACUGGGACGGUAUUGACGCUGAGACGCGAAAGCGUGGGGAGCGAACAGG